CGCGUAGGCGGUGAGAUGCGUCCGUUGUGAAAUCGCCCGGCUCAACUGGGCGGGGUCAGCGGAUACGGUCUCACUUGAGCAAGCUAGGGGGCAAUGGAAUUCCCGGUGUAGUGGUGGAAUGCGUAGAUAUCGGGAGGAACACCAGUGGCGAAGGCGGUUGCCUGGGGCUUUGCUGACGCUGAGGCGCGAAAGCGUGGGGAGCGAUCCGGAUUAGAUACCCGGGUAGUCCACGCCGUAAACGAUGUCGACUAGGUGUCGGGGGUAUCGACCCCCUCGGCGCCGCAGCUAACGCAUUAAGUCGACCGCCUGGGGACUACGGCCGCAAGGCUAAA
rnacentral:rRNA from 1 species